rnacentral:rRNA from 1 species
UACGGAGGGUGCGAGCGUUGUCCGGAAUCACUGGGCGUAAAGCGCACGUAGGCGGAUCGAUCAGUCAGGGGUGAAAUCCCAGAGCUCAACUCUGGAACUGCCUUUGAUACUGUCGAUCUGGAGUAUGGAAGAGGUGAGUGGAAUUCCGAGUGUAGAGGUGAAAUUCGUAGAUAUUCGGAGGAACACCAGUGGCGAAGGCGGCUCACUGGUCCAUUACUGACGCUGAGGUGCGAAAGCGUGGGGAGCAAGCAGG